rnacentral:lncRNA from 1 species
GUUGAGGUUUGCUAGCAAACCAAACUCUAACAAAGAACACUGUUUAUUUUUUCUUUUCUUUUCUUGAGAUAGAUAUUUUUUAUUUUAAGUUCUGGGAUACAUGUGCAGAACGUGCAGGUUUGCUAUUUGCUGCACCUAUCAACCCAUCAUCUAGGUUUUAAGCCCUGUUUUGAUUUGAAUAUUAUUCAAUACAAAUGAAGAUUGAAAUGUGGACAUUUAUGCUAAGAACAGCUUCUGGAAUUAUAGAUUUGCCUUGUAUUCUUACCAAUUGUAAGACGGAUAAACAAGCAGAAAUUCAAAAUGACAUAAUUAUAUUUCUUUGCAUCUGGAUUUUAUUCUGUUCCUGGUUCAAGUUUCAAGAUUGUCAAGAAUGACGAGUUGGACUUGGUCUAGUUACUUCCACAGCAGCAGGAGGAACAUGUGUGUGACUCAGGAUAACUGGGGAAGCCUUGGCUAGGCUUUCCUCAUGUCAACCUACCACUCAAAGGGAGAAAACCUCCUGAUCAGAGGAAAUCCAUAAUUUUUGAAUGCUGGCCGAGGUCUGUGACCUCUGACUGAAUGGUUUCCAAGCUCCGAAUUCCUAGGUGAUGUUUUCAUUUGUUCACACUUGCUGAAGAAGGGAAAGGCUCUCUGAUUUACGUGUAAGCAAAACAAUCUAAACAGUAGGAUAAAAUCAUGUUGGAAUGGAGUUCUGUGUGGAUGCUCCUUUGAACCAAAUCAGUUCCACAACUGACCCUGUCAGGGACAUAUAAAUUUAGCAUUUUGGUGUGGAUACAGAAGACGAGAUUAACACAGAUCAAGUAACAUGGAAAUAAAAAAGGAGACAAUGCUGGAUGAUACAGGGGCAGC